rnacentral:tRNA from 1 species
GGAUUGUAGCCCAGUGGUAGAGUGCUUAUCCAGCAUGCAUGAGGCACUGGGUUCGAUUCUCAGCACCA